rnacentral:rRNA from 1 species
UGGGGAAUAUUGCACAAUGGGCGCAAGCCUGAUGCAGCCAUGCCGCGUGAGUGAAGAAGGCCCUAGGGUUGUAAAGCUCUUUCGUCGGUGAAGAUAAUGACGGUAGCCGAAGAAGAAGCCCCGGCUAACUCCGUGCCAGCAGCCGCGGUAAUACGGAGGGGGCUAGCGUUGUUCGGAAUUACUGGGCGUAAAGCGCGCGUAGGCGGAUCGUUUAGUCAGGGGUGAAAUCCUGAGGCUCAACCUCAGAACUGCCCUUGAUACUGGCAAUCUAGAGUCCGGAAGAGGUGAGUGGAAUUCCCAGUGUAGAGGUGAAAUUCGUAGAUAUUGGGAAGAACACCAGUGGCGAAGGCGGCUCACUGGUCCGGUACUGACGCUGAGGUGCGAAAGCGUGGGGAGCAAACAGGAUUAGAUACCCCCGUAGUCC